rnacentral:rRNA from 1 species
AUUGAACGCUGGCGGCAGGCCUAACACAUGCAAGUCGAGCGGAUGAAGGGAGCUUGCUCCUGGAUUCAGCGGCGGACGGGUGAGUAAUGCCUAGGAAUCUGCCUGGUAGUGGGGGAUAACGUCCGGAAACGGGCGCUAAUACCGCAUACGUCCUGAGGGAGAAAGUGGGGGAUCUUCGGACCUCACGCUAUCAUAUGAGCCUAGGUCGGAUUAGCUAGUUGGGGGGGUAAAGGCCUACCAAGGCGACGAUCCGUAACUGGUCUGAGAGGAUGAUCCGUCACACUGGAACUGAGACAGGGUCCAGACUCCUACGGGAGGCAGCAGUGGGGAAUAUUGGACAAUGGGCGAAAGCCUGAUCCAGCGAUGCCGCGUGUGUGAAGAAGGUCUUCGGAUUGUAAAGCACUUUAAGUUGGGAGGAAGGGCAGUAAGUUAAUACCUUGCUGUUUUGACGUUACCAACAGAAUAAGCACCGGCUAACUUCGUG